CUGCCCCUUCCGCUGGGCCCCGCCCCUUUUCUGGCUCACCCUCCCCCACUCCCUCUCCCCUCCGCGGCGCUGCCCACCCCUCCCAGAAGCCGCAGAUCCUGAGCCAGCUCCCGCAGCUCGCCCCGCCCCUGACUCUACUCCUCGUACUCGUGCAGCCAAUCAAAGAGGCUAACUCUGCCCCUUCUAGGGAAGAGGCCAAUGUGAAGGGACUUAGGAUCCACCUCCUUCCCAGCUGAGAGCACACAACACAGCAUCCACGUGAGUCAGCUUCUUAAAGGAGAAGGCUCAGCUUUCUAAUUGCGGCAGCUGUAGGACAUCGCGCGUCAUCGGCGUCACCAGGUGGUAGCUAAGGCCUAGCUUUUUGAGGCCCAGUAAUGACAAAUGAAAACAACAGGCUGUUUUUCUAGGCAAAGGAGGUACCUAGAUAGUUAAAACGUACCGUGUAAUUAAUUUCCUUGAGACUGCUUACUCUAGUCACUCCUUAUAGAGCGCCACCAUUUACUUACAAAACCCGAACCCUUUGAAUCCCAGCAUACAGGAAAUCCUGAAGAACAUCUAUGGAAAACGGCAUUUUUCAAGUGUGCUCGACUUAAUUUACAACUCUCUGAGUUUUCUGUUGGUAGUGGAAGUGAUUUUCAAGAAGAUGAUAAAAUUCAGAAUCUUUUACAUGGAGAUUGUCUGCCUAUGAAAGUCUGAGGUUUGUUGAAAAGGGUUGCUGUUCUUAUAACCAUCAUGAACACUUGAGAUAGAAGGCUUUGCGUCUCAUUUCAUUAGCAUUUCCCAGCAUCACCUUCAUUCCUCCCACCCCCAUCCUGUUGCCUGGAAUGUGGAUGCCGCCUGGACCACAGGACCAGGACUUUGCCCUAAGGAUGGAGGAGCAGACGGCUGGAAGGAACGUGGACCCCAAACACUGCAUAGAGUAGAGCUGCCAUACUAGCCUGGGACUGCAUGAUUUGGGUUUUGUUUUGUUUUGUUUUGUUUUGGUGAGGGGAGGGGAGGGACACUGCAUGUUUUUUACUUUAACCUGAAUUUAUGAGAACUUUGGGUAAUUUAAACAGACCAGCUCCUUUAGGCAGAAACAUAUAUGUAAGUCCAGUCACAACUUAGUAGUUAAAAUAUCAAUGUUAAUUAAAAUAUUAAUAACUUUC